AAUCCUGGCUCAGGACGAACGCUGGCGGCGCGCCUAACACAUGCAAGUCGAACGAGCGAGAGAGAGCUUGCUUUCUCGAGCGAGUGGCGAACGGGUGAGUAACGCGUGAGGAACCUGCCUCAAAGAGGGGGACAACAGUUGGAAACGACUGCUAAUACCGCAUAAGCCCACGACCCGGCAUCGGGUAGAGGGAAAAGGAGCAAUCCGCUUUGAGAUGGCCUCGCGUCCGAUUAGCUAGUUGGUGAGG
rnacentral:rRNA from 1 species